rnacentral:lncRNA from 1 species
UUCUCCGUUUCUCGUUUCUGCAGGCGACUCAAAGUGUGCUGCGAAUAAACAGAUUCAUCAGCUGUUGUCCGAGGGCGAGGAGAAAAAAGUUGAAGACUCUUGAUAAAUCUAGAGAUGAUCCAUAUUGAUACAUGGUAUUUUGUUCUACUUUUUCAAUAUUGUGGCUCGAAAUACUCAGGAAUAAAGCUAAAUAAAGCUAAUCCAAAAGCUUAUUAAUAAACAUAUUUUGGUUUAAAGAGUUUAAUUUAUAUAAUCUUAGAUGCCCUUCUACGAUUUUCUUGUAUACUAAUGUCAUAUUGUACACUAACAUUGUUAAGAUCUAUUUGGACAUUCUUCAAGGGGCAUAAAGGGGUGGUACUGGUAACCAGUCUCAUUCAAACUCAAGCAGAUUACUUGUGAGUUCUCUUAGCUGAAACAGAAAGAAUAAGUAUUCUAAUUGUCCUCUAGCUAUCUUAUUUUGGAAAAAAUCUUGUUAAGGGGUCUUUUACACAAUGCAUAAGCCAAACUCACCUGGUAUGAUCAUCUAUAUAUUCUAUCUGUGGUCUUCUUAACUCGAAACCUAACGUGACGACUCUCAAUCUCAGGUACUCUUGGUGGAACUAUUGCGGGUAAAUGGAUCUAUUGAGUGGUGUUGACAUGGACAGAGUUAGUUUCGUAAGAUGUAUGGGCAGAUUAGUUUGUGGUAGUUUUCUUUUUUUGUUUUCUUUUGACUUUAUAUAGAAUUUUUUAGAGAACUUUAUUAGUAUUAUUGUACUUAGCAUUUUGAUUAUCUUCGUAUGAUAAUUUUAGUAAAAUGUUUGGAUGAUUGAUUAUUUAUAUAAUAUAUGUUUAGAAUUGUAGUAUUUGUUGUGUUUGAGGAUAUUGUAUAAUUUAUAUUUGGGAAAUUACAAAAAUAUGAAAAAAAAAACCAUUGUUGUAUUUC